AUUGAACGCUGGCGGCAGGCCUAACACAUGCAAGUCGAGCGGAUGAGGGGAGCUUGCUCUCUGAUUCAGCGGCGGACGGGUGAGUAAUGCCUAGGAAUCUGCCUGGUAGUGGGGGACAACGUUUCGAAAGGGACGCUAAUACCGCAUACGUCCUACGGGAGAAAGUGGGGGAUCUUCGGACCUCACGCUAUCAGAUGAGCCUAGGUACGAUUAGCUAGUUGGUGAGGUAAAGGCUCACCAAGGCGACGAUCGUUAACUGGUCUGAGAGGAUGAUCAGUCACACUGGAACUGGGACACGGUCCAGACUCCUACGGGAGGCAGCAGUGGGGAAUAUUGGACAAUGGGCGAAAGCCUGAUCCAGCCAUGCCGCGUGUGUGAAGAAGGUCUUCGGAUUGUAAAGCACUUUAAGUUGGGAGGAAGGGCAGUAAGUUAAUACCUUGCUGUUUUGACGUUACAAACAGAAUAAGCACCGGCUAACUUCGUGCCAGCCGCCGCAGUAACAC
rnacentral:rRNA from 1 species